GGUAGCUUGCUACCUGCCGGCGAGUGGCGAACGGGUGGUAAUACAUCGGAACGUGCCCUGUAGUGGGGGAUAACUAGUCGAAAGACUAGCUAAUACCGCAUACGACCUGAGGGUGAAAGUGGGGGACCGCAAGGCCUCAUGCUAUAGGAGCGGCCGAUGUCUGAUUAGCUAGUUGGUGGGGUAAAGGCCCCCAAGGCGACGAUCAGUAGCUGGUCUGAGAGGACGAUCAGCCACACUGGGACUGAGACACGGCCCAGACUCCUACGGGAGGCAGCAGUGGG
rnacentral:rRNA from 1 species